rnacentral:rRNA from 1 species
CAGGCCUAACACAUGCAAGUCGAGCGGGCACUUCGGUGUCAGCGGCAGACGGGUGAGUAACACGUGGGAACGUGCCCUUCGGUUCGGAAUAACUCAGGGAAACUUGAGCUAAUACCGGAUACGCCCUUUUGGGGAAAGGUUUACUGCCGAAGGAUCGGCCCGCGUCUGAUUAGCUAGUUGGUGGGGUAAUGGCCUACCAAGGCGACGAUCAGUAGCUGGUCUGAGAGGAUGAUCAGCCACACUGGGACUGAGACACGGCCCAGACUCCUACGGGGGGCAGCAGUGGGGAAUAUUGGACAAUGGGCGCAAGCCUGAUCCAGCCAUGCCGCGUGAGUGAUGAAGGCCUUAGGGUUGUAAAGCUCUUUUACCCGGGAAGAUAAUGACUGUACCGGGAGAAUAAGCCCCGGCUAACUUCGUGCCAGCAGCCGCGGUAAU